GGUUGUGUAGUGUAGUGGUUAUCACUCCGGAUUUUGAUAUGACUCAUCAGCACUUCCGGCAACUGCGGUUCGAAUCCGCGCACGACCU